UCCUCUAUAGCGCAGUGGCAGAGCACUGGCUUUGUAAGCCAAGAGUUGCGAGUUCAAUCCUCACAGGACGCA